AGCAGUGUGGUGUACCGUGCACACGGGGGUUCCAUGAUAUCGCAUCGUUUGCUAACUUUACCCCGAGGUCCUUGUUCGAACCAAGGUGCUGCUC